CCUUAUAUGGCAUUUGUUCAAAGUUAAUGUUUUUUAUGGUAUUUUAUUUGCCACUUUUUUGUAAAUUUAAUUUUCAAAUUCCAUAUUCUAGGUUUGUCUAUUCAGCCCUAAUUUUUUCAACUUAUUUCUCUCUAGUCGGCUGCCUCUCUCAUUUUCUUCUCUGAGGAAGAAGUUGGUCAGGCUCCGAGUCAAGUUUCCGGCACCGUUCGCAAAUUAUCCUGCUCGGCCUGCUUUGACUCUCUCUGGUUCUGUUAUUACUUGGUCUGAUGCCAGCUCCAGUUCAUCAGAUGCAGCAAUACUAUAGACCAAAAGGGUCACUUGAUAACUAUUCUAAAAAAUGGAGUGCUGUGGUGGAUUGUUUAACCUUGAAGACCAAAGGGUCUGCUCAAGUUCAGAUUCUUUGAGUCAAAAGUUACAUCAUUCAGUGGAGCUGAUGAAGUGUGUUCUGCAGGGACUAAAACCAUUCCAUCGAUUCAGUGGAGCUGAUGAAGUGUGUAUUAUGGAAGACUCUUAUUAGGUGAUAUCAAAUUCUAUCUGUGAACGGGCAAAAUGUAUCUAGUGGCAGUGACUUUUGUAGAGUUCUAGACCAAUGUAAAGUGGGCGACAAGAUAAAGUUUCAUUGUGUUAACUCAUAUUAAUCUACAUUAUCUUCUUAUAAUGAUAGUUUUAGAACAGAGUUAGAAAAAUCUUAAGAGAAUUUCAAUUCUUACUCCAAAAAUUUUUGAGUGCAUAAUAUCUUUCUCAUUUUAAAAUAUUUAUUUUAACUUAUUAACUAAUUGAUUGAGCUAGUCAAACUGUUAAAGUAUAUCAUGAGUACCAUGAACUGUAAAACAACAGUUUAUUUUUAAGAUUAUUUGUUUAGAAAAUGAGCUAGGCCUAGCCUCUUAUGUUUAAAAAUUGUUUAGAGUUAAAAGGUGUUCUAUGAUUUUUCAUAGAGUCGAAACUGGUUUCACUGGGUUUACAGGUUCAAAACUGGUUUCACAUGUUUUGAGAGUUCUGCAAUGAGGUUGCUCUAUUUUAUUAUGUUAUUGCAUAUUUUUAAUUUUAAGUUACUUUUUUAUUAUUUUGUUUCUCGGUUAAGAACUUACACUUAUAUUUAGUUUUUAAAUUAUUGGUAUGUAUUGUGUGUUUUGAUUUUAUUUGAUUAGUAUUUUUUUUUUUGUAUUUUUGUGUGUGUGUUUUUUAUUUGGUUGUUUGAUGAAACUGGUUUCAGUUAGCUUUAUUAUUUAACAUUUAUAUUUUGUUAUGAUUUUUCAGCAUCAAAACUGGUUUCACAGGUUUUAAGUGUUCUGUAAUGGAGUUGCUCUAUUUUUAUGAUGUUAUUGUAUAUUUUUUAGUUUGUAUAAAACUAGUUUUAUUAUUGUCUGAUAUUUGAACAAAAAUGUCUGCUUUAUUUUAAAUAACCAGUUUCUGACACACUUAUUAUUUUAUUA